GAAAGGUGAGCUAAUGCCGGAUGAGUUAUAUAAGCGCAUGUUUAUAUAGGAAAAGUUGGGGAGACCUGACGCUGAAAGAUGGACUCGCGUCCCAUUAGCUAGUUGGUAGGGUAAUGGCCUACCAAGGCGACGAUGGGUAGCCGGCCUGAGAGGGUGGCCGGCCACACUGGGACUGAGACACGGCCCAGACUCCUACGGGAGGCAGCAGUGGGGAAUUUUGCGCAAUGCUCGUAAGAGUGACGCAGCGACGCCGCGUGAAUGACGAAGGCCUUCGGGUCGUAAAGUUCUUUCGACAGGGAAGAAAAUGCCUAUAAGUAACUGUGUAUGUAUUGACGGUACCUGUAUAAGCAGCCCCGGCUAACUCCGUGCCAGCAGCCGCGGUAAUACGGAGGGGGCGAGCGUUGUUCGGAGUGACUGGGCGUAAAGAGCACGUAGGCGGUGUUGUAAGUCAUUAGUCAAAGACUAGAGCUCAACUUUAGUAAGGCUAGUGAUACUAUAAUACUAGAGUAUCAGAGAGGAUUGCAGAAUUCCUGGUGUAGCGGUGAAAUGCGUAGAUAUCAGGAGGAAUACCGUUAGCGAAGGCGGCAAUCUGGCUGGAAACUGACGCUGAGGUGCGAAAGCGUGGGUAGCAAACAGGAUUAGAUACCCUGGUAGUCCACGCUGUAAACGAUAGAUGCCAGGUGUUGGGCUUUUAAGUUCAGU
rnacentral:rRNA from 1 species